CGUGUAGGCGGACUCGCAAGUCGGUUGUGAAAUCCCUGGGCUCAACCUAGGAACUGCAUCCGAAACUGCUUGUCUUGAGUAAUGGAGAGGGUGGCGGAAUUCCCGGUGUAGAGGUGAAAUUCGUAGAUAUCGGGAGGAACAUCAGUGGCGAAGGCGGCCACCUGGACAUUUACUGACGCUGAGACGCGAAAGCGUGGGGAGCAAACA
rnacentral:rRNA from 1 species